UCCCCCAGCCGGCUGCAACACCAUUUGCGGUCCCGACGACCUUAGCGGAGAACAUUGUGCGAAUCCAGAACUGGGUCGAGACGAAGGUGGAGACUGAGAAACCAGUGAAAAAGCAAACAAGGAGGAAGGAAAUAGGCGAAUUUAUAGUGGCGGUGAAGUAAACUGCUGGUGAAGUGAGACGAAUGAGUGCUGAAGAAGCAAGACGGGGACCCCAGAGGUCACAUGCAGUCCCCAUGACAAGCCUCGCAAAGACCGCACCAGAGACAUAGGCUAUUCCUGCAUUUCCGAUGUCAGUUGUGGUGAGAUUGAGGUUGUCACGUAUAAUUGGGAGGAGGGGUGGGGCUGCAAAAGUGGAAACGAAACAAGCGAAGAAGGAGAUCCAUGAAAGAUGAAAGCCCCGCAUGUGGGGUUUUGCUAGCGAUAGUAUUUUGAACUGAGUUGCCUUAUUAUCAGAAUCCACAGGAAGAGCGAAGAUAAAAAGAUGAAGACACAUUUUUCUUAAGCAUCAGUUAAUAUGCAUGAAUCCAGAGAGUGAUGAGAUGGCUCUAUGGGUUUCUGAAUGGUGAAUCUGAGGAUCCAAAGAUUUCUUGUAACAAGGGAUCAAACAAGGAGAAUAUCCGAGGUACUUUCUAUUGUUCUCAACAAUUUUUGCUCGUGGUUUACUAACCAUUGGAUAGAAGGGCAUAUUUCAUUGCCUUAGAUAAUAAAGAAGAAACAACAUAUGUGUCUUGUCUACAUGUGUGUUUCCCUCUAGCAUUAGCAAAAUCACUAAAAGUAGCAAGCAAAACAACAUAAAAUCUCAUCUUGUAUAUGUAUUUUUUAGGUGUAAUGCAAGACUGCUUAGGCCGGCAUUGUUUGA